CUACGUGAUCUGAGUUCAGACCGGAGUAAUCCAGGUCAGUUUCUAUCUAUAAGAAGUCUUUUCUAGUACGAAAGGACCGAAAAGACACAGCCAAUGCUCUAGUAAGCUGUUUCCAUUAAUUUGUGACCCAAACUUAAUAACAAAGUGAUUCAACACUAAGCCUGAGAAAAAGGC
rnacentral:rRNA from 1 species